UACAGAGACUACAAGCGUUAUUCGGAUUCACUGGGCGUAAAGGGUGCGCAGGCGGCCAAGUGUGUGAGGCGUGAAAGCCUGGGGCUUAACUCCAGAAUUGCACCUCAAACUACAUGGCUAGAGCAUUGGAGAGGGUAGCAGAAUUCACGGUGUAGCAGUGAAAUGCGUAGAUAUCGAGAGGAACACCUGCGGCGAAGGCGGGUUGCUGGGCUGACACUGACGCUGAGGCGCGAAAGCUAGGGGAGCGAACGGG
rnacentral:rRNA from 1 species